GGGCCGGUAACUCAAUGGUUAGAGUGCCAUCUUCACACGGUGGAAGUUGGAGGUUCGAGUCCUCUCCGGCCCACCA
rnacentral:tRNA from 1 species